rnacentral:rRNA from 1 species
GAUGAACGCUAGCUACAGGCUUAACACAUGCAAGUCGAGGGGAAACGACAUCGAAAGCUUGCUCUUGAUGGGCGUCGACCGGCGCACGGGUGAGUAACGCGUAUCCAACCUGCCCACCACUUGGGGAUAACCUUGCGAAAGUAAGACUAAUACCCAAUGAUAUCUCUAGAAGACAUCUGAAAGAGAUUAAAGAUUUAUCGGUGAUGGAUGGGGAUGCGUCUGAUUAGCUUGUUGGCGGGGUAACGGCCCACCAAGGCUACGUUCAGUAGGGGUUCUGAGAGGAAGGUCCCCCACAUUGGAACUGAGACACGGUCCAAACUCCUACGGGAGGCAGCAGUGAGGAAUAUUGGUCAAUGGACGAGAGUCUGAACCAGCCAAGUAGCGUGCAGGAUGACGGCCCUAUGGGUUGUAAACUGCUUUUAUAAGGGAAUAAAGUGAGUCUCGUGAGACUUUUUGCAUGUACCUUAUGAAUAAGGACCGGCUAAUCCGUGCCAGCCGCCGCCGUAA